UUAAGCGACUAAGCGUACACGGUGGAUGCCCUGGCAGUCAGAGGCGAUGAAGGACGUGCUAAUCUGCGAAAAGCGUCGGUAAGGUGAUAUGAACCGUUACAGCCGGCGAUGUCCGAAUGGGGAAACCCAGUGCAAUUCGUUGCACUAUCGUUAACUGAAUACAUAGGUUAACGAGGCGAACCGGGGGAACUGAAACAUCUAAGUACCCCGAGGAAAAGAAAUCAACCGAGAUUCCCCCAGUAGCGGCGAGCGAACGGGGAGCAGCCCAGAGUCUGAAUCAGCUUGUGUGUUAGUGGAACGGUCUGGAAAGUCCGACGGUACAGGGUGAUAGUCCCGUACACCAAAAUGCACAGGUUGUGAACUCGAAGAGUAGGGCGGGACACGUGGUAUCCUGUCUGAAUAUGGGGGGACCAUCCUCCAAGGCUAAAUACUCCUGACUGACCGAUAGUGAACCAGUACCGUGAGGGAAAGGCGAAAAGAACCCCGGCGAGGGGAGUGAAAAAGAACCUGAAACCGUGUACGUACAAGCAGUGGGAGCACCUUCGGGUGUGACUGCGUACCUUUUGUAUAAUGGGUCAGCGACUUAUAUUCUGUAGCAAGGUUAACCGUAUAGGGGAGCCGCAGGGAAACCGAGUCUUAACUGGGCGUUAAGUUGCAGGGUAUAGACCCGAAACCCGGUGAUCUAGCCAUGGGCAGGUUGAAGGUUGGGUAACACUAACUGGAGGACCGAACCGACUAAUGUUGAAAAAUUAGCGGAUGACUUGUGGCUGGGGGUGAAAGGCCAAUCAAACCGGGAGAUAGCUGGUUCUCCCCGAAAGCUAUUUAGGUAGCGCCUCGUGAACUCAUCUUCGGGGGUAGAGCACUGUUUCGGCUAGGGGGUCAUCCCGACUUACCAACCCGAUGCAAACUACGAAUACCGAAGAAUGUUAUCACGGGAGACACACGGCGGGUGCUAACGUCCGUCGUGAAGAGGGAAACAACCCAGACCGCCAGCUAAGGUCCCAAAGUCAUGGUUAAGUGGGAAACGAUGUGGGAAGGCACAGACAGCCAGGAUGUUGGCUUAGAAGCAGCCAUCAUUUAAAGAAAGCGUAAUAGCUCACUGGUCGAGUCGGCCUGCGCGGAAGAUGUAACGGGGCUAAACCAUGCACCGAAGCUGCGGCAGCGACACUAUGUGUUGUUGGGUAGGGGAGCGUUCUGUAAGCCUGCGAAGGUGUGCUGUGAGGCAUGCUGGAGGUAUCAGAAGUGCGAAUGCUGACAUAAGUAACGAUAAAGCGGGUGAAAAGCCCGCUCGCCGGAAGACCAAGGGUUCCUGUCCAACGUUAAUCGGGGCAGGGUGAGUCGACCCCUAAGGCGAGGCCGAAAGGCGUAGUCGAUGGGAAACAGGUUAAUAUUCCUGUACUUGGUGUUACUGCGAAGGGGGGACGGAGAAGGCUAUGUUAGCCGGGCGACGGUUGUCCCGGUUUAAGCAUGUAGGCUGAUUGUCCAGGCAAAUCCGGAUAAUCAAGGCUGAGGUGUGAUGACGAGGCACUACGGUGCUGAAGUAACAAAUGCCCUGCUUCCAGGAAAAGCCUCUAAGCAUCAGGUAACAUCAAAUCGUACCCCAAACCGACACAGGUGGUCAGGUAGAGAAUACCAAGGCGCUUGAGAGAACUCGGGUGAAGGAACUAGGCAAAAUGGUGCCGUAACUUCGGGAGAAGGCACGCUGGUGUGUAGGUGAAGUCCCUGCGGAUGGAGCUGAGACCAGUCGAAGAUACCAGCUGGCUGCAACUGUUUAUUAAAAACACAGCACUGUGCAAACACGAAAGUGGACGUAUACGGUGUGACGCCUGCCCGGUGCCGGAAGGUUAAUUGAUGGGGUUAUCCGUAAGGAGAAGCUCUUGAUCGAAGCCCCGGUAAACGGCGGCCGUAACUAUAACGGUCCUAAGGUAGCGAAAUUCCUUGUCGGGUAAGUUCCGACCUGCACGAAUGGCGUAAUGAUGGCCAGGCUGUCUCCACCCGAGACUCAGUGAAAUUGAACUCGCUGUGAAGAUGCAGUGUACCCGCGGCAAGACGGAAAGACCCCGUGAACCUUUACUAUAGCUUGACACUGAACAUUGAGCCUUGAUGUGUAGGAUAGGUGGGAGGCUUUGAAGCGUGGACGCCAGUCUGCGUGGAGCCAACCUUGAAAUACCACCCUUUAAUGUUUGAUGUUCUAACGUUGGCCCCUUACCGGGGUUGCGGACAGUGUCUGGUGGGUAGUUUGACUGGGGCGGUCUCCUCCCAAAGCGUAACGGAGGAGCACGAAGGUUAGCUAAUCCUGGUCGGACAUCAGGAGGUUAGUGCAAUGGCAUAAGCUAGCUUGACUGCGAGCGUGACGGCGCGAGCAGGUGCGAAAGCAGGUCAUAGUGAUCCGGUGGUUCUGAAUGGAAGGGCCAUCGCUCAACGGAUAAAAGGUACUCCGGGGAUAACAGGCUGAUACCGCCCAAGAGUUCAUAUCGACGGCGGUGUUUGGCACCUCGAUGUCGGCUCAUCACAUCCUGGGGCUGAAGUAGGUCCCAAGGGUAUGGCUGUUCGCCAUUUAAAGUGGUACGCGAGCUGGGUUUAGAACGUCGUGAGACAGUUCGGUCCCUAUCUGCCGUGGGCGCUGGAGAAUUGAGGGGGGCUGCUCCUAGUACGAGAGGACCGGAGUGGACGCAUCACUGGUGUUCGGGUUGUCAUGCCAAUGGCACUGCCCGGUAGCUAAAUGCGGAAGAGAUAAGUGCUGAAAGCAUCUAAGCACGAAACUUGCCCCGAGAUGAGUUCUCCCUGAGACUUUAAGUCUCCUGAAGGAACGUUAAAGACGAUGACGUUGAUAGGCCGGGUGUGUAAGCGCAGCGAUGCGUUGAGCUAACCGGUACUAAUGAACCGUGAGGCUUAACCU
rnacentral:rRNA from 1 species